rnacentral:rRNA from 1 species
AUGGGGACGGUGCAUGUGCAAGGUGUGGCGGCGUCGGGGAGGAUGCCGUCCAUGGAGGCGGAGCCGAAGACGCUCACCCUCGAGCAGCUCAAGUACGCAAGGGAGGCGGCGCUGUACGUGGUGAGGACGAGGACGACUGAGGAAGCCAUCAGGAUCUUCACGGAAGGGCUCAAGCCAGUGCGGGGCGUGCAGAAGAUGGGCUCCUCCUCCACGACGGACUCGUCGGACGACGACGUCGAGCUCGGCUCGUCGGAGGAUUCGACGCCGCGCGGCGGCGGCGGCACGGGUUGCCGCACCCACGGACGCUCCAUCAAGAGGGACAUUGCCACUGCACCGUUCUAG